GGGGCUGUUUUGGCUUUCGACAGAAGUGAGGAGGCUUAGGUGCAUGUGAGCUGGUAGGCUCUAAAACUACAAACAACAAAAUAAACGCAAACAACGCGAAUUAUGCUCCAGCCUACGCAAAAGUAGCGUAGGUCUUAUUCCUUUUUGGGAGCCGAUUCUUAUCUUUAUGCUAGCCGAAAGUUAAGGAUCGUCAUUCUUGGCUAGAUGCUUUCAUGUCUUGCCUAGGGCAUGAAAAAAGACUCUUGGUUGCUUGUGGAUUCUAUCUUUGACGCAUUAGAUAGCCACAAAAAGAUAAAAAUGCGUGCUAAACAUGUAGAAUCUUAAGAAACUUUCAUUUUUGGACUGGGGUUCAAUUCCCCACAGCUCCACCA
rfam:Helicobacter muridarum strain ST1 CONTIG_160, whole genome shotgun sequence.